rnacentral:rRNA from 1 species
AGAGUUUGAUCAUGGCUCAGAAUCAACGCUGGCGGCGCGUUAACACAUGCAAGUCGCACGAGAAAGGGAGCAAUCCUGAGUAAAGUGGCGUACGGGUGAGUAACACGUGGAUCAUCUACCUUUUAGUGGGGAAUACCCCCGGGAAACUGGGGACAAUACCGCAUAAUCUCGCAAGAGGAAAGCAGCAAUGCGCUGAAAGAGGAGUCCGCGGCCGAUUAGCUAGAUGGCGGGGUAAUGGCCCACCAUGGCAAAGAUCGGUAGCCGGCCUGAGAGGGCUCUCGGCCACACUGGCACUGAAACACGGGCCAGACUCCUACGGGAGGCAGCAGUGGGGAAUCUUGCACAAUGGGGGAAACCCUGAUGCAGCGACGCCGCGUGAGUGAUGAAGCCCUUCGGGGUGUAAAGCUCUUUCGACAGGAACGAUAAUGACGGUACCUGAAGAAGAAGCUGCGGCUAACUACGUGCCAGCAGCCGCGGUAAUACGUAGGCAGCGAGCGUUGUUCGGAAUUACUGGGCGUAAAGAGUGUGUAGGUGGUGCUCUAAGUUUGGUGUGAAAUCUCCCGGCUCAACCGGGAGGGUGCAUCGAAAACUGGAGUGCUAGAGGAUGGGAGAGGCAAGCGGAAUUCCUGGUGUAGCGGUGAAAUGCGUAGAUAUCAGGAGGNNNNCCUGUGGUGUAGACAGCUUGCUGGACCAUUUCUGACACUGAGACACGAAAGCGUGGGUAGCAAACAGGAUUAGAUACCCUAGUAGUCC